GACGUCGUAUAUCGACGUCAUAAACACCAAAGUUGAUCGUGUUUAUGACGUCGAAUAUCGACGUCAUAAACACCAAAGUUGAACGUGUUUAUGACGUCGAAUAUCGACGUC